rnacentral:rRNA from 1 species
AUUGAACGCUGGCGGCAGGCCUAACACAUGCAAGUCGAGCGGUAGAGAGAAGCUUGCUUCUCUUGAGAGCUGCGGACGGGUGAGUAAUGCCUAGGAAUCUGCCUGGUAGUGGGGGAUAACGUUCGGAAACGGACGCUAAUACCGCAUACGUCCUACGGGAGAAAGCAGGGGACCUUCGGGCCUUGCGCUAUCAGAUGAGCCUAGGUCGGAUUAGCUAGUUGGUGGGGUAAUGGCUCACCAAGGCGACGAUCCGUAACUGGUCUGAGAGGAUGAUCAGUCACACUGGAACUGAGACACGGUCCAGACUCCUACGGGAGGCAGCAGUGGGGAAUAUUGGACAAUGGGCGAAAGCCUGAUCCAGCCAUGCCGCGUGUGUGAAGAAGGUCUUCGGAUUGUAAAGCACUUUAAGUUGGGAGGAAGGGUUGUAGAUUAAUACGCUGCAAUUUUGACGUUACCGACAGAAUAAGCACCGGCUAACUCUGUG